rnacentral:misc_RNA from 1 species
GAGUUUAUGAUACUUGACAUAGGAUGUGGGUUUGGAAAGCAUUCCAGAGAAGUAGCAAAGGUGUAUCCGCGAUCUAAAAUAACCGCCAUUGACAUGAACCAGUUCUCUAUUGAUAACGCCAAAAGGGAACUCACCAAAAGUGGGCUACAGAACAUAGAAUACCUAUGUAUGAAAGGAGGGCAACUUCCAGAGGAGUGGGCAAACAGAUUUGAUUUCGUCAUAAUCAACGAUGUUCUGCAUGAUUCCUACGAAGUUGACGAAAUACUGAAAGGAAUCAAAAGGGUUCUUAAACCUGAUGGAUUUGCGGCCGCUUACGAUCCGGCGGUGUCUUCGUAUCACAAAAAGGUUAUCAACGACGCAACGGCGCAGUAUUAUUUGCCCUUUAGCUUAUUUUCAUGUCUCCCAGUGAGUAGCAUGGGUCCUAGUGAAGGACUUGGCAUUGGUUGGGGUUACGAACGCCGAAAACAGAAGAUCGAAGAACAUGGUUUUCGAGUUGUGCAGGUCGGAGAUAAAGAUAUUGAGACAAUACAAGAGGGCAUUGUAUUCCAGAAAAUGUAAAAUUCAAUAUGUUUUCCGGUUUAAGUAGCUUUGUUUCAAUAUGUAAGCUGCAAGGAGUUUGAGAGUACAAUGAUUAAAUUGAUAGACUACUGA